CCUACGGGUGGCAGCAGUGGGGAAUAUUGGGCAAUGGGCGCAAGCCUGACCCAGCAACGCCGCGUGAAGGAAGAAGGCUUUCGGGUUGUAAACUUCUUUUCUCAGGGACGAAGAAAGUGACGGUACCUGAGGAAUAAGCCACGGCUAACUACGUGCCAGCAGCCGCGGUAAUACGUAGGUGGCAAGCGUUAACCGGAUUUACGGGGUGUAAAGGGCGUGUAGGCGGGACUGCAAGUCAGAUGUGAAAACCACGGGCUCAAACUGUUGCCUGCAUUUGAAACUGUAGUUCUUGAGUACUGGAGAGGCAGACGGAAUGCCUAGUGUAGCGGUGAAAGGCGUAGAUAUUAGGAGGAACACCAGUGGCGAAGGCGGUCUGCUGGACAGCAACUGACGCUGAGGCGCGAAAGCGUGGGGAGCAAACAGGAUUAGAUACCCGGGUAGUC
rnacentral:rRNA from 1 species